rnacentral:rRNA from 1 species
AUUGGACGCUGGCGGCAGGCUUGACACAUGCAAGUCGAGCGGAGAUGAGGUGCUCGCACCUUAUCUUAGCGGCGGACGGGUGAGUAAUGCUUAGGAAUCUGCCUAUUAGUGGGGGACAACAUUCCGAAAGGAAUGCUAAUACCGCAUACGUCCUACGGGAGAAAGCAGGGGAUCUUCGGACCUUGCGCUAAUAGACGAGCCUAAGUCGGAUUAGCUAGUUGGUGGGGUAAAGGCCUACCAAGGCGACGAUCUGUAGCGGGUCUGAGAGGAUGAUCCGCCACACUGGGACUGAGACACGGCCCAGACUCCUACGGGAGGCGGCAGUGGGGAAUAUUGGACAAUGGGGGGAACCCUGAUCCAGCCAUGCCGCGUGUGUGAAGAAGGCCUUAUGGUUGUAAAGCACUUUAAGCGAGGAGGAGGCUACUGAGACUAAUACUCUUGGAUAGUGGACGUUACUCGCAGAAUAAGCACCGGCUAACUCUGUGCCAGCCGCCGCCGUAA